rnacentral:piRNA from 1 species
UCUACAGAUGACUGCUAAGGAACCUAGGGU